rnacentral:rRNA from 1 species
UACGUAGGGUGCGAGCGUUGUCCGGAAUUACUGGGCGUAAAGAGCUCGUAGGUGGUUUGUCGCGUUGUCCGUGAAAACUCACAACUCAAUUGUGGGCGUGCGGGCGAUACGGGCAGACUGGAGUACUGCAGGGGAGACUGGAAUUCCUGGUGUAGCGGUGGAAUGCGCAGAUAUCAGGAGGAACACCGGUGGCGAAGGCGGCCCUCUGGACGGUGACUGACGCUGAGACGCGAAAGCGUGGGGAGCAAACAGG